rnacentral:rRNA from 1 species
GUAGGUGGCAAGCGUUGUCCGGAAUUAUUGGGCGUAAAGCGCGCGCAGGCGGUUCUUUAAGUCUGAUGUGAAAGCCCACGGCUCAACCGUGGAGGGUCAUUGGAAACUGGAGAACUUGAGUACAGGAGAGGAAAGCGGAAUUCCACGUGUAGCGGUGAAAUGCGUAGAGAUGUGGAGGAACACCAGUGGCGGAGGCGGCUUUCUGGUCUGUAACUGACGCUGAGGCGCGAAAGCGUGGGGAGCAAACAGGGAUUAGAUACCCUGGUAGUCCACGCCGUGAACGAUGAGUGCUAAGUGUUAGGGGGGUUUUCCGCCCCCCUUAGUGCUGCAGCUAACGCACUAAGCACUCCGCCUGGGAGUACGGCCGCUAGGCUG